rnacentral:rRNA from 1 species
GACGAACGCUGGCGGCGUGCUUAACACAUGCAAGUCGAACGGAAAGGCCCCUUUGGGGGUACUCGAGUGGCGAACGGGUGAGUAACACGUGAGUAACCUGCCCUUGACUUCGGGAUAACUUAAGGCAACUGGGGCUAAUACCGGAUAGGAAUCCUUGCUGCCUGGUGGGGGUUGGAAAGCUUCGGCGGUUUUGGAUGGACUCGCGGCUUAUCAGCUUGUUGGUGGGGUAGUGGCUUACCAAGGCUUUGACGGGUAGCCGGCCUGAGAGGGCGACCGGCCACAUUGGGACUGAGAUACGGCCCAGACUCCUACGGGAGGCAGCAGUGGGGAAUAUUGCACAAUGGGCGGAAGCCUGAUGCAGCAACGCCGCGGGCGGGAUGACGGCCUUCGGGUUGUAAACCGCUUUCAGCAGGGGCGAAGCUUGUGGUGACGGUACCUGCAGAAGAAGCACCGGCUAACUACGUG